rnacentral:rRNA from 1 species
CAGCAGCCGCCGCGGGAAAACGGAGGGGGCUAGCGUUGUUCGGAAUUACCGGGCGUAAAGCGCACGUAGGCGGCUUGGUAAGUUAGAGGUGAAAGCCUGGAGCUCAACUCCAGAAUUGCCUUUAAGACUGCCGAGCUAGCAGGUGAGAGAGGUAAGUGGAAUUCCGAGUGUAGAGGUGAAAUUCGUAGAUAUUCGGAAGAACACCAGCGGCGAAGGCGGCUUACUGGCUCAUACUGGACGCUGAGGUGCGAAAGCGUGGGGAGCAAACAGGAUUAGAUACCCCCGUAGUCCCUGUCUCUUAUAC